AGCUGAAGAGUCAAGCACGAUGGAAUCAGAUGGGCUCACGAUUAGAACCAGAGGGUCCAGAAUGAGGGGGUGGAGAGUCAGGACCUUGCUUGCCUCUCCAGUCUCAUCCCUCAGCACUCCUCCCUUCAUUGAUUGCUGUUGGUCUCAGGGACUUCAGGUUCUUCUGCCCACCCACUGUACUCUCAUCUCCCAGCCAUUUGCUCCUCCAUUGGCCUAACAGUCUCCCUGCCACCACCCCACCCCAGACUGUCUAACCUCCGUUCAUCCCUCAGGACUUAGAUCCCCACUGCCCCCACACACCUCCUCACCUGAAUGACAUGGUGAACCACACACCCAUCAUCAUCAGAGUGAUGCGUCGAUAUUCUGGACCAAAACAGGAGAGGAAAUUCCCCCAAACCUAGGUGGAACAAAACAAAGUCAGAUAGCAGCUGUACUGACUUCUAACACUCCCACCCCAGGUCCCCCACUUUUUCCCGUCCCCCUUCCCUUCAGUUCACCCCACAAACAGGCCUUUGUCUCCGCCUCUCCCACUCCCUUCCCUCUCUUCACCACACCGUCCUUCAUUACCUGCCCUCCCAGGCUCAGGGCCCGGACCCCCCAGCGCUGGUACCAGGUCCCUGUGUCUGACUGGAUUUCAAUCAACUCAUCCUCCUGAUGAAUUGUCUUAAUGAAGAAGCGGGGGCUCUCAGGCUGUGUGGUCAGAGCUCCGAUGGCAAACACAGAAGGGAAGGCGCAGACGAGGACAAAAACCCUCCAGCUGUGGAACUGGUAAGCGGACCCCAUCUGAAAGCUCCACCCUGGCAGGGACAGUCACAGCAUCAGAAAGGCCAGAGGCUGGGGGCUCCCACCACAGGGCACACAGGAGAAGAGGGAGAGAGGCUGGGGUGCAUUCCCCGGAGACUGCCUACCGUAGUGGGGGAUGAUGGCCCAGGCCAUAGCAGCUGCAUAUACUCCACCAAUCAUCCAAAACAUGCAGAGCCAGCUCAAAUGCUCCCCACGUUUCUCCUGGGCCAGAAACUCCGAGAAAUAAGAGAAGACAAUGGGGAUGGACCCUCCAAUCCUGGGGAGCAUUGUGAGAAUUCAGCAUUAGAAAAUGGCCCUAUUUCCGAUCCCCUGCCCCAGUGCUCUGGAUCCCCAAGUGCCUUUCAUCUUCCACACCUUGUUAAAGAGACUUCUCACAUAGUACCCUAUACACUCCCUCACCACCAGCUGUUAUGCACCCAUCCUCAGGACCCUGGGGAACAGGCAGGGAGGUCUGAGAGGAAGGGAAGGAACAAACAUUGAACCUUGAAGAUGGCUACUGAGUUGCAAGAGACAGAAGAUGAUUACAGAAAAGAGGGAAAAUCCCCACAGGAAAAAGCUAGGCAAAGAGGAGUCCGAGGGCAGGGAUGCGGGAGCAGGCCAGAAAAGAGCUUGCAGACAGGGCAAAGAAUGCACGCAGACGGCUCAGGGAGUGUGGGAGUGUGGUGGGUCAACGCGUCACAUUUCUGGCAGCUGUGGGUGUUAACAGAAAGGUCUGCUGUCAAAUGCAGAAAAGAUGGAGACUCGGAAGGGGAUAACUCCGGGGUUCACAGGCACCCAGGGGUACAGCUGAGACCCACCAGGCCUCUCGUCAUGGAGCCAGGCUCAGAAUGGAACUGGAGGGUGGGGUGGAGGACUCAGGAGUGGACGAGACAUGGAAUGGUGCUCUGGGCAGGCGGUAGGUGGGUCCAGGACAGGGGGAAGCUGGCCUAAAGACGGUAGGAGAAAGGAGUUCAUUCAUUCAAUUCAUACAUAUUUGAGAUGCAUCUGGUGUGCCUGGCACUGUGCUGGGUUCUGGAAACAUAACGGCGACAAAGGCACAGUCCUCCCUCAGGACUGCCUCCAGGGGCUUAGGAGGUGGCCACUCACCCAACCCCAGAAAGGAGGCGGCAGAAGAGGAAAGUGCCAUAACCCUGGACGAAAGAUGAGAAAAAGGCGAAGACGCUGUUGACUGAGAGCGAGAUGAGCAGACAUUGCCUCCGACCCAGCCGAUCAGCCAGACCUCCCCAGAGAAAGGCUCCCACCAUCAUGCCCAGGUAGACUAUAAGGCCUGCAGGGAGGGAAACAGAGACAGCAGAGGUAUGAGCAGACACGCCUCAGUUCGCUCACUUUUUGAGCAUUAAAUGAGCUAGAGCUGCAGCAGAAUGGAUUGAGGAGCUGGAAGAUUUCUAGGAUAGGUAAGUCUACCCAGAGAUGAGAGCAAGUGAGAGUUCUGUCUUUGCUCACGGAAUGUCAUCUCUGCAGACCAGAGAUUCAAAGGCAGGAAUGCAGACAUGGGAGACCCCCAGAAUUCUUUCUCUUCUUCCUGCUCUCUUGCUUGCUCUCAUCUCUCAUUGUGUCUCUGUCUCUCUGUCUCUGUCUCUCUCACACACACACAACACACCCCCAUCUCUGGCUUGCCUAGAAGGAGUAAUGGAUCUACCCAAAUUCCCAGACCUUCCCAGGGUCCCCUCUCCCUCCCUGCCUUGACGUCCUGAAAGCAGCAGGAGAGAUCUCCUGUGUCCCUAGGAAAGCACCUCCAUUUCUUCAGCCCCCCCCCUUACAAAAUCCCCCCCACAGAACCCGUGCUUUACUCCCCCAGCUCCAAUGCUUCUGGUCCUAAAACUCUUCUGUUCCUUAUUUCCUUCCUACAUUCAGAGUUGGAAUAACUCUAAAAAUCAAUCUACUCCAAACUCUGCAUUUUACCCAUGCUUCAGCCAAGCCCCAAGGAGUGGGGAUCUCCCCAACAUCUCAUGGCAACUUGGGAGCAGUGCAAGACCAAGAGACCUUUUGUGGGUGAGUCCAGGCGGUUUCCUCCCCCAGGGUCCACAUCAGGAAGAGCCAUUAGAGACCACUCACUGGCCCUUGAACACUCCCAAGGCUUGCCAAGAGCAAGCAUGGCCAAUUUCUCUGGCUGAAGGCAGACCUGGGCUUCCUCCCCGAUCCCCACCCUACUAAACUGACUCCUCGUUUAAACUAGGGAGUUUGGACACUGACUUCUUGUUUCCCUGAUCAGGGAAAAGGAACAAGAUGACAGAAGGGAAGUCUCUGAAGAAACACCCAACAGGGGCCCAUCCCACCACGGCCACCUCCUGCAGAACUAACUAAGCAGACCACCACCCAGCCACUGCCCCAAGCCCCAGCCCAGCUGCCCUUCCCCAAGCCCCUCUCGCACAAACAACCUCACUGUGACCCAACCCCAAGAGGAGGGUUUGUGAGGGAUGAGCAUGCAGAGGAACUCCACGCCCUCUGGGGACAUUUUGGGAUCGGGGUCCUAGGGAGCGGUAAGGACGGGUUCUCAGGAGCAGAGGUUUUUCUAGAGUUUGGGGCAGGACAGGGCUGGAGGGCCCCCAGUGUGUCUUACCUAGCAUGCCUUUGUUGGAGUCCGACAGGCACAUGUCUUUCUCGGCGCUAGGCAGCACAAAGCCCACCACAAAGACCUCGACACCAUCAGCCAUCAGUGCCAGACCAAGCACGAAAUAGAGUGUCCACUGGAAGCGGCCAUGGCCACACUCCCGUAGGAUGGCUUCAUACUGCUGAGCCAGUUCUUCCCGUUCUUUCCGCCGCUGUGCCUCCCCCCGGCCACCAGGGGGGCCCUCCCCAUCGCCCAAGCCCCCCCUUACUCCAGCCAGGGGAGCCCCAUCAGCCAUCCGCUCGCCUUUGCCCCCAGACUCUGCCCUGGGGAUGCCCUGAUACUCCCCCUCAUAGAUCUCGUCAUCCUCGUCGUGGCCUUCAGUAGCAUCACUAGAUGCACCACCUUCUUCCUCAUCCUGGGCCCCUUCCCCACGGUAAUAGCCAUCAGCAGGGGCAGGGUAGUCAUCAUCAUCCUCCUCCUCCUCAAAGCGGGAGUAGGAUCUGCGGGAAUAUUCGUCCUGGACUCUGUCCAGGCCCUUUACCACCUUCUUGGCCGCAUGCUUCUUGACUUCCUUGGCAAUGUCUUUGGCCCCACGGAUGAAAGCUGCCCGGUCUCUGAAGCCUUCUUCCAUGAUGGGUCUUUGGGAAUGCUUCACUAGACUCCUCCACUCCCUGCUCAAGGACUUGUGAAGUCAGAAAGAUUCCUUCCCCCAGUUACUCAGAUGAAGUGGAUUCAAGUAUCUCUGGGCACAGAAUAGGAGCAAAUAGGACCUGGCCAGUGAGUGUGUAGGAAGGGAAAGGAGGGAGAGGAGUUCUGGCCAGUUCAGUUGGAUACAUGGGGAAGGGAAAAGGGGAACAGCAGAAUGGGAAGGGGAGGGGGAGCUAGGUUGUGCAAGCUAAGAUGGGGAGCCAGGAUAACUCAGGAAAGGCCGCCUACUUCUCUUCAAGAAGCCUCUUGAGAUCUAGAAAAUAUAAGGGGGGGGGGGGGGAAAGGAGGUGGUGAGGCCUAAAAUGGUAAAGAAAGCCAAUACAGAGCCCCAACCAAGACCAUGUGAUACGGAUGGUCUCCUUGCUUCAAGCCUGCACACAGUUAAAAAGGGAUGCCUACCUGGGCCAGCUGUGGAUCAUUCAGUAUAAAUCCCCUCACUUUAACCUUGGAGAUCAGGCCUAUGAGAUAUGCUCCAGAGUCACGGUCACCUAUCUAGAGCCCUCCUUCUGAUCCCCUGCCCCACAUCAAGAUCAGACCCCUUGCUUUACCACCAAACUGCAAAGAACAAAACAGGAAAUAUGAGAAACCAUAAUUCUCUGUUUUAGUCUGGUCUGGCUUGCUUAUUGGGGGAAGAGCUGGGGGGAGAAUGUGUAAAAGGAGAAUCAAGUCCUCCAGCCUGUGACUUCAAUCCACUGAUGGCAUCUCAAAUGGGGCUCUCGGGGUCCUCCCCUCAGGUUCCCACAAGGAAGGGUUUUCUCAGUGGGUGAAAAUUCCCUUCCAGGGUCAGACAGACUUAGGUUUGACUUCUUGCUUCAGCACUUACUAGCUAAGUGACUUCGGCCAUCUCCCCAUACAGCCAGGCCUCAGUUUCCUCUUAUUUAAGAAGGGGAAAGUAAGGAUUAAAUGACAUAAUGUGUAUAACUCCUUACCAUAGUACCUAGCACAUAAAAAGCGAUUAAGAAAUGUUGGUUAUUGCUCUUUGUGAUGAUAAUAAUACAGUGCGAUCCCCUCUACUCCCUCACAAGACCCCAGAACAAAAGCCACGUCUGGAUGCUUAUGAGGAUAAGGAGCAGAAAGGGAUACUGACAAGGGAAAGCUGGUUCAGUGCAAAGCACAUGACAGGUGACCUAAGUUAAAAUCCCAGCUCUGUCACUUACUUGCUAACUGCUCUUGGGCAAAUUAUUUAAUUUCCCUCAACUUCAGUGUCCUUAUAUUUAAACUGGGGGUAAUAAUCUUUAGUUUUCUGAGUCCACAAGAGAAUCCAACCUCACAGUAGAUAUUCUAUAAAUUAGUUUCCUUCCUUCCUAUUAGACUGAAAAAAAAUGUGAAAGAAACAGGAAGCAGCAAGGGAAGAGUAGGGGUCAUACUUGGAUGCUGUUGUCCAGUAUCCUCCCAAAACAGAGUCCCAAGACCUCUCUGUGUUCAAAUUAGUUCCAGCAGAUGGGCCCACAUUGUCUCCCUCCAGACAAAGAAGGAAAGACUCAAAAAAAGGGAAACCUGGAACCUGAGGUCAUGGAGAAGAGGUGAUGUCUGGCUCCUGCCACCUUCCUUCAGGACAUCAUCCAUGAGCCCCUUCCCUGGUGGGGGCAGGAACAGAAAUGGCUGAUCAAAUACAUACUUUUUCAGCAUUGGGGGCUAAGGUCUAUAGCUACACCUCCUUUCUCCAGGGCCUUCUUUCCUAAUCCCCCUUAAUCCUUUCUGCUCCUCCUCCAGGAGUCAAGGAAAAAGGAGUCCACAAAUACCGCACUGCGUAGGAGGCCAGUAUAGAAUGAAGGGGGCCUUGGGCCUCCCCCCCAAAAAAGACAUCCUCCAGAGGGAAACAUAGAACACCCCCCACC